rnacentral:rRNA from 1 species
GAUGAACGCUGGCGGCGUGCCUAACACAUGCAAGUCGAGCGAACGGACGAGGCUUUUGCUUGGCUGAUGUUAGGGGCGGACGGGUGAGGAACACGUGUAUACCCUACCUAUAAGACUGGGAUCACUUCGGGAAAGCUGAUCUAACAUCGGAUAAUAUUGUGAACGGCAGGGUUCAUAAGUGAAAGAGGUUUCUGCUGAGACUUGGACAUGGAACCUAGCUGCAUUAGUUAGUUGGUAAGGUAACGGCCUACCAAGGCAACGAUGCGUAGCCGAUCUGAGAGGGUGAUCGGCCACACUGGAACUGAGACACGGUCCAGACUCCUACGGGAGGCAGCAGUGGGGAAUCUUGGGCAAUGGGCGAAAGCCUGACGGAGCAACGCCGCGUGUGUGAUGAAGGUCUUCGGAUCGUAAAGCUCUGUUAUUAGGGAGGAACAUAUGUGUAAGUAACUGUGGAUGUCUUGACGGUACCUAAUGAGAAAGCCCCGGCUAACUACGUG